rnacentral:piRNA from 1 species
UGGCAAAUCUGGUCAAGCACAUUUGGUCUG